AGGGUGCGAGCGUUAAUCGGAAUUACUGGGCGUAAAGCGAGCGCAGACGGUUUGUUAAGCAGGAUGUGAAAUCCCCGGGCUCAACCUGGGAACUGCGUUCUGAACUGGCAGGCUAGAGUGUGUCAGAGGGGGGUAGAAUUCCACGUGUAGCAGUGAAAUGCGUAGAGAUGUGGAGGAAUACCGAUGGCGAAGGCAGCCUCCUGGGAUAACACUGACGUUCAUGCCCGAAAGCGUGGGUAGCAAACAGGAUUAGAUACCCUGGUAGUCCACGCCCUAAACGAUGUCGAUUAGCUGUUGGGCAGCAUGACUGCUUAGUAGCGAAGCUAACGCGUGAAAUCGACCGCCUGGGGAGUACGGUCGCAAGAUUAAAACUCAAAGGAAUUGACGGGGACCCGCACAAGCGGUGGAGCAUGUGGUUUAAUUCGACGCAACGCGAGGAACCUUACCAGCGUUUGACAUCUUAGGAAUGAGAUAGAGAUAUUUCAGUGUCCCUUCGGGGAAACCUAAAGACAGGUGGUGCAUGGCUGUCGUCAGCUCGUGUCGUGAGAUGUUGGGUUAAGUCCCGCAACGAGCGCAACCCUUGUCAUUAGUUGCCAUCAUUAAGUUGGGCACUCUAAUGAGACUGCCGGUGACAAACCGGAGGAAGGUGGGGAUGACGUCAAGUCCUCAUGGCCCUUAUGACCAGGGCUUCACACGUCAUACAAUGGUCGGUACAGAGGGUAGCCAAGCCGCGAGGUGGAGCCAAUCUCACAAAACCGAUCGUAGUCCGGAUUGCACUCUGCAACUCGAGUGCAUGAAGUCGGAAUCGCUAGUAAUCGCAGGUCAGCAUACUGCGGUGAAUACGUUCCCGGGUCUUGUACACACCGCCCGUCACACCAUGGGAGUGGGGGAUACCAGAAGUAGGUAGGGUAACCGCAAGGAGCCCGCUUACCACGGUAUGCUUCAUGACUGGGGUGAAGUCGUAACAAGGUAGCCGUAGGGGAACCUGCGGCUG
rnacentral:rRNA from 1 species